GAGAGGUUCAGACAGAGAAAAGCUGACAAGCCUGUCCUGAGGCCUUGCAAGCUUGCUAGAAAGCUUACAAUAUUUUACUGCCAGGAGCUCUUCUGUAUGGCAGGAUUACACAGUGCCUUCCUGCCAGCAAGUUUCAGCAUUGCAACAGUACCUCCCCUGCAACCAUCCCUCAUCCCUCACCUUCAAUGAUUAGCAUUACACCAUCCAUGUGGGCUUUGCUGUGGAGCCAUCUUGUAGCUGUGGCCACCAGUAAAGGGAAUGUGGUCAAUAUGAUGGAUCCAUUCUAUGUUUCCUUCUAUUAAAUUUCAGCCCCAGAAUAAACAGAAUUGUGAAGAUAA